UACUGUGAAGCCAGAACACAAGAGGACGUGGUAACUCCACCUUAAAUCUGACUGUUGUGGAGGUUUUGCCUAAAGCUUUGAAAUCAGCCGUCAUUGGGACAACUUCUGCCGUUUUCCUCGCUGUCAUACUCCUCUCUGCCUUCCUACUGAUAAGAACAAAGAGGACGUCCAAGCAAUCGUCUGAGCCUGGAGAGAGACCCGACUACAGUGACCAGUAUCACUCCAAUCAGUCGGAGGAACAGGUAGAACUUCACUACGCCAAUGUCCGCUUCUUGAAGAACCAGACAGAUCCUGUCUACUCCAACAUCAAUCCAGCUGGACCCCGCAGACACGAGGAGACGGAGGAGGACGAGGAGGAUGGUGUUCAGUACGCUGUUGUCAAAUUUAACAGUUCUGCCCCGAGAACCAUAAGUCAGGAAACCGAGGAAGAUCCAGCUGCAUUGUACAGUACAGUCAACAAAACCGUCUGACUCUUGUCAGCCAGUCCGUCAGUCGUUCCACCACUGUUGAACUGAAAUAUCUCCACAACCACUGGAUGGAUUGCCAUAACAUUUUGUACAGCCAGUCACAGUCUCCAGAGGAUAAAACCUUCUGACUUUAGAGAUCCUCGGACUCUAGCGCCACUCGCAGAUUGACAUUUUUGGUUUUUACCGACAUGUCUUGACAACUGUUGGAUAAAUUGUUGUAUAAAUAGUGGUACAAGAAUGCAAGGUACCACAAGGAAGAAUCCUAAUGACUUUGGGUAGUUCCCGGCUUUCAUCUGUCUAUCUGAAAUAUAUCAGCUACUUUCAUGCUCUGCAAUGCAACUAGUGGUUAAAAAGUCUCUUUAACUGACCUUUAACCUUAAAUAAAGAUUAAUGUAAACAUGACAUUUUAUAACUUGUAACUCAGAUGGCUAACAGUUUGUAAGCUUAUACUUUUUCCAUUCAAUUCAUGUAUAAUAUUUGCUAUUUAAAGCACAUUAGUGCAACAAGCAUUGUGACCCAGUUGUAGUGUCAUACUGCUGC